rnacentral:rRNA from 1 species
AGUGCAGUAGAGGUGGGCGGAAUUCGUGGUGUAGCGGUGAAAUGCUUAGAUAUCACGAAGAACUCCGAUUGCGAAGGCAGCUCACUGGAGUGUAACUGACGCUGAUGCUCGAAAGUGUGGGUAUCAAACAGGAUUAGAUACCCUGGUAGUCCACACAGUAAACGAUGAAUACUCGCUGUUUGCGAUAUACAGUAAGCGGCCAAGCGAAAGCAUUAAGUAUUCCACCUGGGGAGUACGCCGGCAACGGUGAAACUCAAAGGAAUUGACGGGGGCCCGCACAAGCGGAGGAACAUGUGGUUUAAUUCGAUGAUACGCGAGGAACCUUACCCGGGCUUAAAUUGCAAAUGAAUUAUGGGGAAACCCAUACGCCGCAAGGCAUUUGUGAAGGUGCUGCAUGGUUGUCGUCAGCUCGUGCCGUGAGGUGUCGGCUUAAGUGCCAUAACGAGCGCAACCCUUAUCUUCAGUUACUAACAGGUCAUGCUGAGGACUCUGGAGAGACUGCCGUCGUAAGAUGUGAGGAAGGUGGGGAUGACGUCAAAUCAGCACGGCCCUUACGUCCGGGGCUACACACGUGUUACAAUGGGGGGUACAGAAGGCCGCUACCUGGUGACAGGAUGCCAAUCCCAAAAACCUCUCUCAGUUCGGAUCGAAGUCUGCAACCCGACUUCGUGAAGCUGGAUUCGCUAGUAAUCGCGCAUCAGCCAUGGCGCGGUGAAUACGUUCCCGGGCCUUGUACACACCGCCCGUCAAGCCAUGAAAGCCGGGGGUACCUGAAGUACGUAACCGCAAGGAGCGUCCUAGGGUAAAACUGGUAA